rnacentral:rRNA from 1 species
UGGCUGGUCGUUGUCGCCGCAACUGCUGGCUGGCUGGCUGCUGCUGGCUGGCUGACUGGCUAGGCGGUGGGUUGGCGGGACGGCUGGGUGGUUUGCUUGCUGGCUGGGCUGGCUGGUGCGAUGCUGCACUACUACUGCUUGCGUGCAGUGAGCGUGUGUUGGCAGGGAUUGUGUUGCCGUGGCCAUGAAGAAGCACUGUCGUGUCAAGCUGGCAAGGCGAUGGUGUCACCUUUGAGCCAUGUCUGUGGUGUAACAGCUACAGGUGUGGACGGGUGUUGGGCAGCGCUCUGCACACGUUGUGGAGUCUGUCGGCUCGUCUGCAUGCCUUUGGAUGCCCUUAAAAAGGUGUCUGCGGGCGGAUGGCACGUUUACUUUGAACAAAUUUGAGUGCUCAAAUCAGGCCGAUGUUGCCUGAAAAGUUUUGCAUGGAAUAAUGGAAUAGGACUUCGGUUCUAUUUCGUUGGUUUUCGGAUCCGAAGUAAUGAUCAAAAGAGACAGGCGGGGACGUUUGUAUGGCUGCGCUAGAGGUGAAAUUCAUGGACCGUAGCCAGACAGACUAAAGCGAAAGCAUUCGUCAAGCAUGUUUUCAUUGGCCAUGAGCGAAAGUCAGAGGCUCGAAGACGAUCAGAUACCGUCCUAGUUCUGACCAUAAACGAUGCCAACUGACGAUCCGUGGUGGUAGUAGUGUUACCUUCCCCACGGGCAGUCCCCGGGAAACCUUUAAGUGUUUGGGUUCCGGGGGAAGUAUGGUUGCAAAGCUGAAACUUAAAGGAAUUGACGGAAGGGCACCACCAGGAGUGGAGCCUGCGGCUUAAUUUGACUCAACACGGGAAAACUCACCCGGGCCGGACACUGUGAGGAUUGACAGAUUGAGAGCUCUUUCUUGAUUUGGUGGUUGGUGGUGCAUGGCCGUUCUUAGUUGGUGGAGCGAUUUGUCUGGUUAAUUCCGAUAACGAACGAGACUCCAACCUGCUAAUUAGUGCGUUUGUCCACUGCGCCUGCGUAGGUGACGCUGGAUGACACCACCUGUCACGAGGACGUGGCAGCGGCUCUUCUCUCCCUUCUCCGCUCGAAUGCCCUCCAGCGCCUCCUCCUCCUCCUCCUCCUCUCCUCCCCCUUCUUCAGCGCCUCAUCUGGCCGGCUGGCUGGCUGGCCGGGUGAGGCGGUGGUGGCGGUGGCGGUGGUGAGGGCGAUGGGUGGGGAUGGUGCGGGUGGGCGAGUGGAUUGUGGUGGAGGCGUGGGGUUGGGUGCGGCGCUCGUGGCCGGUUAGUCUGGCGUUGGCCUCCGGGUGUGGCGCGAAUGCCUACUUCUUAGAGGGACAAGCGGGAGAAGCCGCACGAAAUAGAGCAAUAACAGGUCUGUGAUGCCCUUAGAUGUCCGGGGCCGCACGCGCGCUACAAUGACGGUGUCAGCGAGUCAGGCCUUCUGGCCCGAAAGGGUUGGGCAAACUGGUCAAUCACCGUCGUGACAGGGAUCGGGGCUUGGAAUUGUUCCCCGUGAACGAGGAAUUCCUAGUAAGUGCAAGUCAUAAGCUUGCGCUGAUUACGUCCCUGCCCUUUGUACACACCGCCCGUCGCUACUACCGAUUGAAUGGUUUAGUAAGGUCCUCGGAUUGGCGUCAUUGCGACGGUGGCCGAGAGGUCACAGCCCGAGGGGCGCUGAGAAGACGACCGAACUUGAUCAUUUAGAGGAAGUAAAAGUCGUAACAAGGUUUCCGUAGGUGAACCUGCGGAAG